GGUGAUCUGGCUGUGACAUCUGUCAUGGUAGCCAUUGCCAGAGUCGGUUUGGCUGCCCUGGCUGGCAAGGCAGCUGUCCCUCUACC
rnacentral:sRNA from 1 species